UACGUAGGGCGCAAGCGUUGUCCGGAAUUAUUGGGCGUAAAGAGCUCGUAGGCGGCUUGUCACGUCGGGUGUGAAAGCCCGGGGCUUAACCCCGGGUCUGCAUUCGAUACGGGCUAGCUAGGGUGUGGUAGGGGAGAUCGGAAUUCCUGGUGUAGCGGUGAAAUGCGCAGAUAUCAGGAGGAACACCGGUGGCGAAGGCGGAUCUCUGGGCCAUUACUGACGCUGAGGCGCGAAAGCUAGGGGAGCAAACGGG
rnacentral:rRNA from 1 species